rnacentral:lncRNA from 1 species
CGGGCGAUAGCCGCCCACCAUCAUUACCGUCCGAUACCAGGGGCAGAAUAAAACUGGCGGAUCUCCGCCGUCUGGAUCCACAAACCCGGCGGAGCCAUUCCUCAUUCGAACCAAAGCCCAUCUUUUCCUUCUCCCUAUAUAAAUAAAUAAAAAACUUAUUAAAAUAUAAAAUAAGAUAUCUCACCUUCUCUACGCACCUCGGCCGUCCGAUGACUCCAUUUGUUCCCCCGGAGCACCGAUCCUGCCGUCCACUUGUUAAAUCGCCUGAGUUUAAGUCGAAGCACCAUCC